rnacentral:lncRNA from 10 species
CCGGGCGGCCGGGCAGAGACGCUGGUCACUUCCCAGACGGGAUGGCGGCCGGGAAGAGGCGCUCCUCACUUCCCAGACGAUAGGCGGCCAGGCAGAGACGCUCCUCACUUCCCAGAUGGGGUGGCAGCCGGGCAGAAGCUGCAAUCUCAGCACUUUGGGAGGCCAAGGCAGGCGGCUGGGAGGUGGAGGUUGUAGCGAGCCGAGAUCACGCCACUGCACUCCAGCAAAAACCAGUCAGGCAUGGCGGCGCGCGCCUGCAAUCCCAGGCAGGCUGAGGCAGGAGAAUCAGGCAGGGAGGUUGCAGUGAGCGGAGAUGGCGGCAGUACAGUCCAGCCUUGGCUCGGCAACAGAAGGAGACCGUGGAGAGAGAGGGAGAGGGAGAGGGAGACCGUGGAGAGAGAGGGAGAGGGAGAGGGAGACCGUGGAGAGAGAGCGAGAGGGAGAGGGAGACCGUGGAGAGAGAGGGAGAGGGAGAGGGAGACCGUGGAGAGAGAGGGAG